UACGUAGGCAGCGAGCGUUGUUCGGAAUUACUGGGCGUAAAGAGUGUGUAGGCGGUGCUCUAAGUUCGGUGUGAAAUCUCCCGGCUUAACCGGGAGGGUGCGCCGAAAACUGGGAGACUAGAGUGCGGGAUGGGAGAGUAGAAUUCCUGGUGUAGCGGUGAAAUGCGUAGAUAUCAGGAGGAAUACCGGUGGUGCAGACGGCUCUCUGGACCGCAACUGACGCUGAGACACGAAAGCGUGGGUAGCAAACAGG
rnacentral:rRNA from 1 species